UGGGGGAUAUUGCACAAUGGGCGAAAGCCUGAUGCAGCGACGCCGCGUGGGGGAUGAAGGCCUUCGGGUUGUAAACUUCUUUUGCUCUGAACAAGGCAUGCCUUUGGGGUGUGUUGAGUGUAGGGGUUGAUUAGCGCCGGCUAACUACGUGCCAGCAGCCGCGGUAAUACGUAGGGCGCGAGCGUUGUCCGGAAUUAUUGGGCGUAAAGGGCUUGUAGGUGGCUGGUUGCGUCUGUCGUGAAAGCUCAUGGCUUAACUGUGGGUUUGCGGUGGGUACGGGCUGGCUUGAGUGCAGUAGGGGAGGCUGGAAUUCCUGGUGUAGCGGGGGAAUGCGCAGAUAUCAGGAGGAAUACCGGUGGCGAAGGCGGGUCUCUGGGCUGUUACUGACGCUGAGGAGCGAAAGCGUGGGGAGCGAACAGG
rnacentral:rRNA from 1 species